AACUUUUGACAACGGAUCACUUGGUUCUGGCAUCGAUGAAGAACGCAGCGAAAUGCGAUAAGUAAUGUGAAUUGCAGAAUUCAGUGAAUCAUCGAAUCCUUGAACGCACAUUGCGCCCCUUGGUAUUCCGGGGGGCAUGCCUGUUCGAGCGUCAUUAUAACCCUCAAGCUUAGCUUGGUGUUGGGGCCUGCCAACUGGCAGCCCUUAAAAUCAGUGGCGGUGCCAUCUGGCUCUAAGCGUAGUAAUUCUUCUCGCUACACGGUCCUGGUGGAUGCUUGCCAACAACCCCCAACUUUCUAAGUUUGACCUCGGAUCAGGUAGGGAUACCCGCUGAACUUAAGCAUAUCAAUAAGCGGAGGCU
rnacentral:misc_RNA from 1 species